AAGAUUAAGCCAUGCAUGUCUAAGUAUAAACAAAUUCAUACUGUGAAACUGCGAAUGGCUCAUUAAAUCAGUUAUAGUUUAUUUGAUGGUAUCUUGCUACAUGGAUAACUGUGGUAAUUCUAGAGCUAAUACAUGCUUAAAAGCCCGACUUCUGGAGGGGUGUAUUUAUUAGAUAAAACCAAAUGGGUUUCGGCCCUUCCUGGUGAUUCAUAAUAACUUCUCGAAUCGCAU
rnacentral:rRNA from 1 species